CUCUUUGGUUAUCUAGCUGUAUGAGUAGCUAAAGUAGUUAAUAGUUCAUAAAGCUAGGUUACCGAAGUU
rnacentral:pre_miRNA from 1 species